CGCGAGUAUUCAGAGUUUGAUCCUGGCUCAGGAUGAACGCUAGCGGGAGGCCUAACACAUGCAAGCCGAGCGGUAUUGUUUCUUCGGAAAUGAGAGAGCGGCGUACGGGUGCGGAACACGUGUGCAACCUGCCUUUAUCUGGGGGAUAGCCUUUCGAAAGGAAGAUUAAUACUCCAUAAUAUAUUGAACGGCAUCGUUUAAUAUUGAAAGCUCCGGCGGAUAGAGAUGGGCACGCGCAAGAUUAGCUAGUUGGUGAGGUAACGGCUCACCAAGGCGAUGAUCUUUAGGGGGCCUGAGAGGGUGAUCCCCCACACUGGUACUGAGACACGGACCAG
rnacentral:rRNA from 1 species